GAUGUGUCGGUUUGCUCCAGAAAUCGUGUGUGAUUUUGGUGUUCUGGAUUUGGUUCAAUCCCUGUUUGUUUUGGUGAAAUUGAAAAGGUAAGACUCAUAGACCGAUGCAAAAGUGUGAGAGUAAAGUGAUGUUGAUGGUGACUGAUGCUUUUCUUUGUUUCUUUUCCUGCUUUCAUCCACUGAUGGUGUCGAGCAUCGCCGAGGAUGUGAUCGAAUGCGGAAUAUUCGAAACGAGGAGAUUCAUUCCGGAUUUUGUUUGCAAUAAGCGCUGAACUAAUCCUCCAGCUUACAGGACGGCAAAGGUACACGCACAAACGUGCACACAUCAGCCUUCUCGGAGAACGAGAACACGGGAGGGGGAGACCGGCAACGUAUAGAACCUUUACGCUCCCUCGUGCGUUCGUGCGUGCGUGCGCGCGCGCGUCUAUGUGUGUGUAUGUGUGUGCAUGCCUGCGUGCGUGGCUGUGUGUGUUUUUGCCGCUUCGCAUAACGAGAUCCUACGGGGAUCACCUUGCGAAAAACACCAAGAGAGGGGGAGGGGUAGGUGUGUGUAUGUGUGUGUGUGCUUGCAUGCGUGCGUGGCUGUGUAUGUGUGUGUAUGUGUGCUUGCAUGCGUGCAUGGCUGUGUAUGUGUGUGUAUGUGUGCUUGCAUACGUGCAUGGCUGUGUAUGUGUGUGUAUGUGUGCUUGCAUGCGUGCGUGGCUGUGUAUGUGUGUGUAUGUGUGCUUUUGCUGUUUGGCGAUCUUCUACGGAAUCACCUUGCGAAAACACGUGGGGGGGGGGGGAGGAGUGAGGUGUGUGUGUGCUUGCCUGCGUGCUUUGUGUGUGUGUUUUUGCGUUCACGUUCUACGGGAUCACUUUGCGAAAAACACCAAGGGGAGGAGGAGGUGUUAGUGUGUGUGUGUGUGUGUGUGUGUGUGUGUGUAUGUUUUUUUUUUCUUUGCCGAUUCGCACUCUCUCGCGGAUCUAGUUGUGUGCGUUAGUUUUUUUUUUUAGUUUCUUCGAAAAAUACCUGGGGGAGGAUGUGUGUAUGAAAGAAUGUACUUCAGAAAAGAAAGUGAAAAUAAAAAAAACGAAUAUGAAAUAUGUUAAACGAAGUUUUAAGUGUGUCUGAACUCAUUGCAAUCCGAAAGAAAGCGAGGGGGGCUCUUAAAAUGUAGUACACAUGUAUGCAACAUGUAUCGUGUCGCCGCGACGGUGUAUCUCGCUCAAUCCGUUAAGCCUGAAAAGUGCUUCUAUCGGAUCGUCUAAUCGGGCGCCAUUUAAUCAAUCCGUUAGCGAAAAGUCGCAUGGAUUUUGGUACCGGGGCGGAGUACGUACUGUGCAAUCGAUUCAUCUCGUUGUUGCACGAUGGUUCGAAAUUUAAUACUUUCUACGAAUUUAUUCUUUUUCUGGUCCCAAUGAGCUACUAGAAUUUUCCGCUUUUCCGAAUAUGGCACUUCUUGUGGUUGUUUUGGUGCGACUAAAAAUUUUAGCGACGUGUUUAGCUCGGCUCCCAUAUGCACACGAGCAUAAUCCGCGUACUGUAUUUCCGGGAUUUUACUUAGCUAAAGCGCCCACUCAAAGCAGUUAAAAUCCCAAGUAGCAACCGAAGCUUUUUUCUCCCAGUUUCAACCCCCUCAUGUCCACAAACUGCCUUCGCUCACUAUUCCUAUCCCGUUUCUACAUUCCACAACGUUUGUUGCGUUCUCGCUCAUCAGGGUGUUAGUCAAUUCUCUCUUGCCACACGAAGCAAAAUCUCCUGCACACUUCGUAUGUUUGAUUCUACCCAUCCCUGUUGAACACAAGUCAUUUUCUUCCAUCGCACUCAUCUGGGUGUUUGCUCUUUUCCAUACAAGACUUCAGCGACUUCAGUGUGCUCUGAACCGUGAACGUGAGAGUGUGUGUUUGUGUGCUGCGUGAACUAUUUUUCCUGCGUAAAACACUUUUCCGUACUGGAUCAUCCGCGGUGUUCUUUCUGCUUUAUCGGAGGACGAAUUGUUAUCAUCUAAUUGUUUCGUUUCAGAUGUGUGCUGCUACCGCUAGCUGUUCCCAAAACCUCUUCAAAUUACGACACUGUGUGCACAGGCACAUGUUCAAUUGAUCCUCAAGCACAAAGGUAAGUUUGUCACAUCUUUAAAUCAAGCGUAAUCUUUUUAACCAA